ACUCUCUCAGGGUCGCACCUGGAGAGUUUCCAGUUCUCUACCAGACUCGGCUACGGGAGGAAGAGUCAAGCAGAGGCCCCCAUUCCAUUCCUAGAUUGACCAGUAGCUAGUGAGCGGAAGGCAAUCUGCUGCAAGU